rnacentral:rRNA from 1 species
GAUGAACGCUGGCGGCGUGCCUAAUACAUGCAAGUCGAGCGAAUGAUGAGGAGCUUGCUCCUCUGAUUUAGCGGCGGACGGGUGAGUAACACGUGGGUAAUCUGCCUGUAAGACGGGGAUAACUCCGGGAAACCGGGGCUAAUACCGGAUAACAAGAGGAAAUGCAUAUUUCCUUUUUGAAAGUCGGUUUACGCUGACACUUACAGAUGAGCCCGCGGCGCAUUAGCUAGUUGGUGAGGUAAUGGCUCACCAAGGCGACGAUGCGUAGCCGACAUGAGAGGGUGAUCGGCCACACUGGGACUGAGACACGGCCCAGACUCCUACGGGAGGCAGCAGUAGGGAAUCUUCGGCAAUGGGCGAAAGCCUGACCGAGCAACGCCGCGUGAGCGGUGAAGGCCUUCGGGUCGUAAAGCUCUGUUGUUAGGGAAGAACAAGUACCGGAGUAACUGCCGGUACCUUGACGGUACCUAACCAGAAAGCCACGGCUAACUACGUGCCAGCCGCCGCAGUAACAC